UACAGGGGGUGCAAACGUUGCUCGGAAUCAUUGGGCGUAAAGCGCACGUAGGCGGUCUGUUAUGUCGGAUGUGAAAGCCCUUGGCUCAACUGAGGAAGUGCAUCCGAAACUGGCAGGCUAGAGUACUAAAGAGGAUCGCGGAAUUCCCGGUGUAGAGGUGAAAUGCGUAGAUAUUGGGAGGAACACCGGUGGCGAAGGCGGCCCUCUGGACCGGUACUGACGCUGAUGCGCGAAAGCGUGGGUAGCAAACGGG
rnacentral:rRNA from 1 species